ACAAAGGCACAAAUUGCGGAUUUUGCUCAGACUAUCUGCGACUAUGUCGGGUCUGAAGGUGGCGGUUUAGCGUGCACGACAGCCUGUGGUCUUGCAGGCACAGCAAUUCCAUUGAGUGGUUUAUUGUGUGCGCCCGCAUGCGCCUUGCUUGCUACUGGAGCAC